UACGAAGGGGGCUAGCGUUGUUCGGAAUUACUGGGCGUAAAGCGCACGUAGGCGGACUAUUAAGUCAGGGGUGAAAUCCCGGGGCUCAACCCCGGAACUGCCUUUGAUACUGGUAGUCUAGAGUCCGGAAGAGGUGAGUGGAAUUCCGAGUGUAGAGGUGAAACUCGUAGAUAUUCGGAGGAACACCAGUGGCGAAGGCGGCUCACUGGUCCGGUACUGACGCUGAGGUGCGAAAGCGUGGGGAGCAAACAGG
rnacentral:rRNA from 1 species